UACGUAGGUGGCAAGCGUUGUUCGGAAUUACUGGGCGUAAAGGGUUCGUAGGUGGCCAACUAAGUCAGAUGUGAAAUCCCUCAGCUUAACUGGGGAACUGCUUCUGAAACUGGUUGGCUUGAGUGCAGGAGAGGAAUGCGGAAUUCCAGGUGUAGCGGUGAAAUGCGUAGAUAUCUGGAGGAACACCGGUGGCGAAGGCGGCAUUCUGGACUGUAACUGACACUGAGGAACGAAAGCCAGGGGAGCAAACGGG
rnacentral:rRNA from 1 species